rnacentral:lncRNA from 1 species
CGGGUAUUUAAAGUACGAUUUAUAGAUCGGCACAGUUUUGUUUAAGAAUUUAUAAGCGUUUAUGUGUUUAUCUGUCUGACCAUUAGAUGUCUGCUUUUGGAAAUGAUUGUUAUAAUUACUACAACACUAGUUCAGGAUGUAAAAAGGUAUAGCCAUAUUAUUUACUUUUAUCAUAAAGGAAGUCACUUUUGAUAAUAUCGUAUGUUAUUUUAAUUUGAUAUAUUAUGGGCGUAAGGCGUUAAUUGGUGAUUGUUUGUCCCGUAUAGCGAUGAUUUUCAGAAUUGUAUGUCAAUCACAUUUAAUGUUCUACUAGUCUACUGGGAAUAAUAUUAUACAAAUACAGCCUUUGUAUGAGCUCGAUAAAGGAUAUAUUGACUUGAAAAAAGUAUAUGGACUGAGGACGAAGUCCGAGCUCUAUAUACUUCUUUGGGUCGAUAUACUUAAUUCUUUGGGUCGAUAUAUCCUGUAUUGACCUCAUACAAAGGCUAUAUUUGUUAUAUUAUUAAUUUCCGACCAUAUUUGUAACAAAAUCGUCAUUUAGGUUUGUUGGAAUUUUAUUGAUUAUGUAUAUUACAUUGUCUCCUUGACAUUAACAACAUAUUAGUUGUUAUUUCAUUUACUUUUUUGUUGUUGAAAUCUUAUGUAUUCUAAGAUUUUUUUCGUCAAAUAAUCGAUCACAGAUAUCAUGUGUUUCAAAGCGUUAGACAAUAACUGAAAUUCAUUACAUCACAAAGUGUAUCGUUUUUAGAUAUUCUAAAAAAUAACCGUGCAAUAUGCUUUUUGCCGGUCAAUAUGCUUUUUGCUAUCCACCGUUUUUCUCUCUACCUUCAAAAACAUAGUUUAACAUGUGACUAUCCCUAAACGAAUCAAAUUUGUUAAAAUAUACGAAUUAAUAAUAUUUAAUAAGAUAAUUGCUUAAAUUUAAAUCCCUUAUUAGACUGAGUAUAACAUAUUCCUAUAAAAAUAAAUAAAGAAAAGACCAAUCCCAUCAUGUAUGUCGUUAAUGACAGACAACAUGAAGCCCACAAGAAAAUCAUGAUAAUAUACCAAGACAGAUCCUAGUCCAUAGGUGAUUACAGUUUAAAAUUAUGUUUAUAUUACGUAAGAUCCUGAUGAUGAAUCUAAGGUUAAUGCAGAUACUCCAGAAAUAUGGGUAGUUUCCUGUUCACUAGUGUUCAUGAUAACAAUUAACAUUUGAUAAAAGUCUUAUCCGCCGAAAAGUCAUGAACAAGAAAAGAAUUUUGGGAUUAACGACACAUAUAUUUAAACGAAUCUAGAUGUCAAUAAAGCGCUGAUGGUGACUAAUAAACGUAUGUACAAUAUAAGUAUCUACACUCUAUAAAGGAAACUUUGAUAAGAAACACUCAUCCUGGUAUUUUGUUUUGUUUGGGUAUAACCGUGGUAUAUAUAUAUGUUAGCGGCAAUAAGUGAAAUUAGGCAUUAAGCUUAAAUCAUAGGCAAUAAGCUAACGCCUAGACAUUAAGUUAUUGCCUGAAAUUUUCAGGGAUUAAGCUUAUUUCCUGAAAUCUGAUGAUGAUUAUUCAUUCUAUUGCCUAACAUAAUUUUAGGCAAUAAGUAAACUUUGGAAUUUAUGCAUAUUUGGUGAUUUGUUCUUGAUUUAAAGUCGUUUCUUAAUUAUAUUUCUAAUAAUGCAUGUAUAAAUAUACAUUCGUUUGACAGAUCUUCACAAGUAAGUUUAUUUAGUAAUUUCAAAAGUUAAAAAACAGAAUUAACUAAUAUUUUUUUUAUGUUUUUGAGGUAUUACAAAAAAUAAAAUGAGGGAGAUUCUAUAGAAUAAUUAUAAUAUUUAUUUGAAAAUGUGUACACUUCACUAGUUGAGCUGGUUUGAACUGGUCAAAAGUAGACAAAAUUAAGAUAUGAUAUUUUGGAUAAGUCAAUUUUCUUUGAUAACAGUUCCACAACUUUUGAUAACAAAAUGAUUUGAACACAAUUUCUAUCAGGUAUUCAUAUUUUUUGAAUGAUUAAUUGAUGCGUUUUAAUAUAAAUAAUAUAUUUUAAUUUAUAAGUGAUUUUAUUUCCAGUCUCUUGUGGACAGUUGUCUCAUUGGCAAUCAUACCACAUCUUCUUUUUUAUAUUAAGGAUGAAACUGGGCCUUGUAGUUUUGCAUCAAAAUAUUUAAAAUACUCAGUAUUUAUAUAUAAAAUGCACGAUUAUAUUUUUAAUUUUAACUAUUUACGAUUAGUUUGUUCAAUUCUAAUAUAAAAAAGUUAUAUUUUUUGACUAUUUUUUUGUUUCAAAGAGUUUAAAUGUACAAAUAUAAUUAUAUCAAAAUGAUUUAUUACCCUUAAAUUUUAAAACUUAUAAUUAUUUUCUAAUAAUGAAUCGGUUUUUGAAUUAUAAUUUUUGGUUAAAUUGGAUACAAUAUUUCAAUUUUUCAUUUGCUAUUUUCUUUUACGUCAAUACUAAGGACAGCGGUACGGACGUCCUAGCUAAAAUAAUCCUCAGAUGGCUUCGAUGUGCAUGCUGAUGACGGUCACAACUUUAUCCUAAUUUCUGUCCCUAAGAAUAUCUUGUAGGACCGGAUCAAAGGAUAGUUUCGAUAAACAGUCUACAGUUCUAAUAAUGUUAUUAUGUAACAAAUAUAUUUUUAUUUACUCGCAUUUAUAUUUUAGACAUUAAGCUUAAUGCCUGCACACAUUUUUCAGAAUUUAAGCCUAAAUCCUAGGAUUUAAGACUAAUGCCUAACAUCAUUUAGGCAAUAGACUGACUGCCUAGGCGUUAGCUUAUUGCCUAGGAUUUACGCUUAAUGCCUAAUUUCACUUAUUGCCGCUAACAUAUAUAUAUAAAGAGCACGGGUGUUGUUGGCAUGUUUUCAAAAUGGAACAAUCCAAGUCAUUAUUUUUUUGAAGUCAAAUUUACUUCUCAAUCGAGCCUCUUGUUUUCUAUGUAAGCAAUGCGAUAACUGCAACUACUUUUCCUCCUUCAAUUCUCAUAAGGAGGAAAUAUAGGACAUCUGCCGCAUAUUGAAUUUCCAGAAGGAAUAAGUUGAGUUGAAGAGUAAUAAAGCUGGUUGUCUCAUCUGAUGAAUAGCAUAUUCACCAAAACGAAUCAAAUUAUCAUCAAAAAUUAAAAAAAACAUGGUAGCGGACUCUUUGUUAGAAUCAGCGUGGUUUUUGUUUUACAAACUAUGAUUUGUUUAUACUAAUUAUAUAAGGAUAAUAUUUUAAACUUCACUAAAAUUGUGUAAAGUGUAGAGAAAUCUCAAUACAUAUUUGUUUGUCUUUAUUCUGUGUGUUCGUCAGUGGAUAGGAUAGCACGCAAAAAAUUACAACAUCUUGAGCAACACGACCGGUUCCACACGUGGAGCAGGAUCUGCUUACCAUUCCGGGGCACCUGCCAUCACCCCCAGUUUUAGUGGGGUUUGUGUUGCUCAGUUUUUAGUUUUCUAUGUUAUUUCUUGCGUACUAUUAUUUGUCUGCUUGUCUUUUUCAAUUUUAGACAUGGCGUUGUCAGUUUAUUUUCGAUUAAUGAGUUAAUGAGCCAAUAAAGUUAGUAGCGGAAUCAUAAAUGAGUAUACAGGUCGUACGUCCCUCUUUGGUCGAUUUUUUAAAAACAUCAACAAAUCCUGGAUCCACUCCUGAUAGAUUUUUGUUCGUUGCAAUUUUGAUAUUUUUUUUUGCAAAGCAAAAUCCCAUCCACAUGCUGGUCUACAGGCGAAUAGAUAAGGUGAAGAAGUCAAUUAUUUGUUCAUUGGAUAUUGACCUUUUCGGGACUUUCGACACCAUCGGAUUCGUCAGUGUUUAUUGGUGGAGGAAGCCAGAGUGCCCAGUGAGAACCAUCUACCUUUAGAAAACCUUUAACUAACAACAUCAGUGUUGACUGUAUAUUCAAUACUUCGACAACGUAGACCACUAGGUCAACGACGCCCCCUUAUUAUCCGAUAUAGUCAGAUAUAUCGUGUUUUGAAAUAAUAUUUAUUAUAUUGGAUAUUAGCCAUAAGAUCAGUGUACCAAAUUCAGAUUAACGUUGGCAGUAUGAAUAUCUCGGUAACAAGAUGACCCUAGCUUUUUGAUAAAAUUUUCAUGUUUAAUUUUAUUAUUUAAAAAAAAAAUCAAGUUUCGGUUUCAAUAAACCGAAACUUGAUUUUUUUUCCCAAAAAAAGUAUGGUGUUACUCACGACAAAAUAUUUACACAAUCACAUAUUUUGUUUUAGUAUCCGGGUAUUUAAAUUCGACUUAUAGAUCGUUUCGUGUACGAAUUUAUAUGUGUUUAUGUGUUUAUCUGUCUCACUAUUUAUGUUUGUAUAUGCGUAUGUAUUCGAAUGCUAUCAUUUAAUGCAUACGGAGUGAUGUCUGCUUUUGGAAAUGAUUGUCACUUUUACAACAACACUAGUUCAGGAUGUGAAAAGGUACUGCUAUAUUUUAUUUUUUUUUAUCAUAAAGGAAGUCACUUAACAUCGUUUUGUUAUUGGUUUUUUUAUAUAUAUAUAAUAUGCGUGUGAUUUGUUAACUAGUGAUUGCUUGAUUUUCUCGAAGUCUCGUAUAAGAGAUGUUAUUUUGAAUGGAACAUAUGAUAAUCACAGUUAAUUUUCAUAUAGGGAUACUUGCUUAUAUAUAAAUUCGCAAAAAAUUCCCCAUUUAAGGUACGGUACUGAUUUAAUAUAAACCCUCAUAAAAUACUGAUUAUCUCAUUUUUCUAUAUGUGAUUGCAGUUUAAUAUCAAUAUUUAUAUUACGUAAGACCCAGAUGAAAAAAUCGAAGGCUAUUGCAUGUACUCCAGAAAAAUGGGCAGUUGUUCUCUUCUCUAGUGUUGUUCCCAGUAACAUGAAACAUUUGAUCUUAUCCGCCUAAAAGUCAUGAACAUGUAACGAAAUCGGAGAGGAACAACACAUAAAUGUAUCCGUAUGCAUCUGUAACACAGUGCUCUCUAGCUGUUAAUAAAAAUCUGUUUGUGACUAUCAAACGAAACAACAUGAAAGAAUCUGCCCUCUAUAAAGAAAAUUUUGAUAGGAAACAUAUAUCCUGGAAUGUUGUAUAAAUGGGGGAUAAUUUGGGCAUACGGAAGAAAAGAGUACGGGUGCUGUUCUAAUGUUGCUAUAGAAAUGAUUUUUUUUUAAAUAAGAUUUUGGGUGGGUUUUGAUCAAUAUUUCGGUGAAGUGUGUUCUGUACUGUCAUUUUCUUUUUUUUUUUUUUUUGUUCGUUGUGUUGGUUUUUUUUUAUAUUCGACUUAUGAAUUCUGAUUGCACUCUUCAUAGCCUUUCUUUCUUUUUUUUAUUACAUUGUUCUUUUGAUUAUCCCCCUAUUUGCUCUUUCCAGCAGUAGAAUACUCAGGUGAACUGUUUGAAGACUAAUUUAAUCAUUUGUAUAUGAUUUUCAAGCUUUUUUUAUUCCUUCUUCUGAAACUCCUGUUAAUAAAAUGUUAAACUGUUUUAAAAUAAUAGUGUUCAGUGCGUCUUCUUAGCUUGUCGAUUUAUAAGGUAAACCCUAAAAUUAAACAAGUACAACAUAAUUGGUUGUAAUAAUUAUAGUUCAAAAUUUAGUUUCUAUUUUAGAGAGAUAGAUGUCCUUACAGACAUAGCGAACCAGCAAUAUCCUGUUUCGUUACGUGUAACUUUUGGCAGAAAGGGAGAUGCACCAAAUCUAAUUGUAAAUAUAGACAUUCAGUAGUAAAACAACAACAGGUAAACAUAGCCUUAUAUUUCUUGAUAUCGCUAUCAGUUAGGGAAACUUUUUUCUAUCUAUAAAAUCGUUCCUUGAAGCUAACAUAUGACUGUAGUUAUAGCACAAUGUAAAAAUACACAGAUAAAGAUACUUCCUGAAUUUUUGUGUCAUGUUAUCUGUUUUAGGAGGGUUAUCCUAUUAAUUAAGGUUACAAUACACCAUUAGAUUUUAUGGGCGCAGCCAUUUUAUGAGCAUAACAUGGUAUUCAGAAUUAAGAGUAUGGCUUAUCCUGAUUGGUCCAUAUGUGCGCACGUUAUUUUUUAUUUUUAGAGACUUCGUGCACUCUGCUUUAUACAAAAGGCAAAAUAAAAAUUAUUCCGUAGCCCUAAAGGCACUGAGAUGACUUUUCAACGCUAGGACAAGACACGUAUUUUUAAGGGCAAAAUUGAUAGGCAUGGGAGAUAAGUACAAAAUACGCUAAGAAAAGCAACGCGAACCUAUAUUUUUGGGACCAAAAAAUACUGUCCUAAUAACUUUUCUUUGAUUCUAGCAAGGUUUCGUUAAAAAAAUCAACUUUCUAAAGUCUGUAUCUCGAAAAAGGCUACCAUUGUCGCCUAUGGGGAAAUUAAUUGUUUAUUUCAUUCUAUAGAUGACAGAGGAAUUGCAUUACACACACGAUAUAUCUUAAUUUAUAUUAAGUCCAUAAAAGUGUAUAACAAAUGGCUUGAACAAUUGGAAGUCAUUCAAAUCACACACUAUAGUAUGCAAAGGCAAACAACAAUGCGAAUGAUUGAAGUGUGAGGGCGCAGGACAUUUGAGCGAUCAUUUUUAAACUAAAAGGGAACAUUUUAGCAAAAGAUUUUCUGGUUGAUUGAAAUUCCGAUCAACAUAUUAAAACCAUGAACAUUAAUUUAGGCUGGAUUAAUGAUUAAGUUGUUUGCAUUAACAAUUUGGUUAGUUAUAAAUAAAAAAAAAGUGUGACAUGUAAGGGCUAACGUCAUCCGGCUAUUUUUAUUUCUUCCGGAAGUUCUGGAAAUUAUCAAAUUACAAACAACCACAUAUAUUAUGAAGUACCGAUGAAUAAGCCCUUCGGUCUAUUGAUGAUGAAGAGAAAGAACAAUUCCGUCCGAAUUUUAUGAACUAUCUGGUAAAAGGGGUAUAUAAAGAGCUUUCACGUACGUUCAAUGGUACACACAUUUACAAUUUAACAUUUCAAUUACCUUUUAAGAAUUUUAGUACUGUAUUUUUAUGACAUGAUUUAAUAUUUAUAAUUUCUGUCGCUAAAUAGUUAUCAAAGAUACCAGGAUUAUAAUUUAAUACGCCAGACGCGCGUUUCGUCUACAUAAGACUCAUCAGUGACGCUCAGGUUCUACAAGUCAAAAACAAGUUGUGCCAUAUACGGCUAAGGUAAUUUAUUCCUAGGAUAAAAAAAAUUCUUAGUUUUUCGAAAAAUUAAAAGUUUUGUCAAUUUAUUAAAAUUACUAUAUAAUUGAUAUUCAUGUCAACACCGACGUGCUGACUACUGGGCUGGUGAUACCCUAGGGGACGAAAUGUCACCAGCAGUGGCAUCGACCCAGUAUUGUAAAUAGUUAUCAAAGGUACCAGGAUUAUAAUUUAAUACGCCAGACGUACAUUUCGUCUAAAAUUGGCAUUGAUUAUUUCACUUUUCGUUAAAACAUUACACUUAAAUCGGAAUUGAUAUUUCACUUCAACCUAUAUAAACUAAAACGUCCGAUUUUUUUUCUUGAAAUGUCCUAUCAAUGCGCAAAAAUGUUCUCCGCCGAAUAGUGACAUAUGUCAACUCUACUGCCAAUGGUACGCUUUCUUAUUUUGGUGCAAAAAAAAAAGAAACCACACACCAGAUUCAUUUUGAAAUAUUAAUACAGUUUAAUAAUGUAUGUCUCCUUUAUGAUGAAUAGCCAAGGACACAUCCGACUUGUAUUUAAGAACGACUACCCUUGUCUCAGUGAUAAUUUCUUUUACAGAAAAAACGGGAACUUAUACCCUGCUAUCAUGAAACUCAACCAUCUGGCUGUACACGACCAGGCUGUCCUUUUAAACACUCCAAGCCUGAUUCAGCUACUCGGUAUAAGUAUGAAGACACAUUAUCCGGUAAGUUACUAUGUAUAUAUAGUAAUUGACUUUCUGCAAUAUGAUUCGAUAUCAACAGACGUUUGUAUGACAAAGGUGCUUUUGUGGGUUAUUUUUGUCAACAUUGCUUAUGUAGUUGCGACGGUACGGUUAUCUUUUGGUUUUACUUUUAAAAGCAUAAAUGUCAAUUAAAAAGCAAUAUUCAUUAUAAUUGAAAAUAAAACAUUAAAUUUUUCAUCAGCUUAUACGAUCAUUUAAAAUUAAUAAUCCUCAAUACACAUGCACAAGUGAAUUAUUUUCUAUUGACAGCUACCCAUGCAAUGGCACCAGUAGAAAAUGGUUCGGACUUUUGGGAACCUUCACCGUCACCGA